rnacentral:rRNA from 1 species
UCUGGAGAAGCGUUUUCCGUGCCGGACCGUGUACAAGUCCCUUGGAACAGGGCGUCAUAGAGGGUGAGAAUCCCGUCUUUGACACGGACUCCCGGUGCUCUGCGAUGCGCUCUCGAAGAGUCGAGUUGUUUGGGAAUGCAGCUCAAAAUGGGUGGUAAAUUCCAUCUAAAGCUAAAUAUUGGCGAGAGACCGAUAGCGAACAAGUACCGUGAGGGAAAGAUGAAAAGCACUUUGGAAAGAGAGUAAAACAGUACGUGAAAUUGUUGAAAGGGAAACGCUUGAAGUCAGUCGCGUCUUCUGGGACUCAGCCUUGCUCUGCUUGGUGCAUUUCCCAGUUUGACGGGUCAGCAUCGGCUCUGGGGGGCGGACAAAGGCGCGGGGAAGGUGGCAGCUCCGGCUGCGUUAUA